UACAGAGGUCUCAAGCGUUGUUCGGAUUCAUUGGGCGUAAAGGGUGCGUAGGUGGCGCCAUAAGUCGGGUGUGAAAUCUCGGGGCUUAACUCCGAAACUGCAUUCGAUACUGUGGCGCUCGAGGACUGGAGAGGAGACUGGAAUUCAUGGUGUAGCAGUGAAAUGCGUAGAGAUCAUGAGGAAGACCAGUGGCGAAGGCGGGUCUCUGGACAGUUCCUGACACUGAGGCACGAAGGCCAGGGGAGCAAACGGG
rnacentral:rRNA from 1 species